rnacentral:rRNA from 1 species
CCUUUUCGGAGGUACUCGAGUGGCGAACGGGUGAGUAACACGUGGGUGAUCUGCCCUGCACUCUGGGAUAAGCCUGGGAAACUGGGUCUAAUACCGGAUAGGACCGCACUUUAGUGUGUGUGGUGGAAAGUUUUUUCGGUGUAGGAUGAGCCCGCGGCCUAUCAGCUUGUUGGUGGGGUAAUGGCCUACCAAGGCGGCGACGGGUAGCCGGACUGGGAGGUUGGUCGGCCACAUUGGGACUGAGAUACGGCCCAG